AGCUCCAAUAGCGUAUAUUAAAGUUGCUGCAGUUAAAAAGCUCGUAGUUGGAUUUCUGGUGUGAUUGUCUCAGCCUUGUAGCGGUUACGUUGCAGCGUGUUGAGAUUCGAUCUACCAUCGUUUGACUUGUUCCGAUUGGAUUCAUUUCUAGUCGGAUCAAAACAAGGUAAUCUUUUACUUUGAAAAAAUUAGAGUGUUUAAAGCAGGCUUUUGCUAUGAAUACAUUAGCAUGGAAUAAUAAUUUAGGACUUUGGUUCUAUUUUGUUGGUUUCUAGAACGAGAGUAAUGAUUGAUAGGGAUAGUUGGGGGUGCUAGUAUUGCGUGGCCAGAGGUGAAAUUCUUGGAUUCACGCAAGACUAACUUAUGCGAAAGCAUUCACCAAGGAUAUCUUCU
rnacentral:rRNA from 1 species